UGGGGAAUAUUGGUCAAUGGGGGAAACCCUGAACCAGCGACGCCGCGUGAGGGAAGACGGUUUUCGGAUUGUAAACCUCUGUCUUCAGGGACGAUAAUGACGGUACCUGAUGAGGAAGCCACGGCUAACUACGUGCCAGCAGCCGCGGUAAUACGUAGGUGGCAAGCGUUGUCCGGAAUUACUGGGUGUAAAGGGAGCGUAGUCGGGACUAUAAGUUGAAUGUGAAAUCUAUCGGCUCAACCGAUAAACUGCGUUCAAAACUAUAGUUCUUGAGUGAAGUAGAGGCAAGUGGAAUUCCUAGUGUAGCGGUGGAAUGCGUAGAUAUUAGGAGGAACACCAGUGGCGAAGGCGACUUGCUGGGCUUUUACUGACGCUGAGGCUCGAAAGCGUGGGGAGCAAACAGG
rnacentral:rRNA from 2 species